rnacentral:miRNA from 1 species
AAGAUGUUUUUAAUGUAGGCUUC